rnacentral:rRNA from 1 species
AGUGAACGCUGGCGGUAGGCCUAACACAUGCAAGUCGAACGGCAGCACAGUAAGAUCUUGCUCUUACGGGUGGCGAGUGGCGGACGGGUGAGGAAUACAUCGGAAUCUACUUUUUCGUGGGGGAUAACGUAGGAAAACUUACGCUAAUACCGCAUACGACCUACGGGUGAAAGCAGGGGAUCUUCGGACCUUGCGCGAUUGAAUGAGCCGAUGUCGGAUUAGCUAGUUGGCGGGGUAAAGGCCCACCAAGGCGACGAUCCGUAGCUGGUCUGAGAGGAUGAUCAGCCACACUGGAACUGAGGCACGGUCCAGACUCCUACGGGAGGCAGCAGUGGGGAAUAUUGGACAAUGGGCGCAAGCCUGACCCAGCAAUACCGCGUGAGUGAAGAAGGCCUUCGGGUUGUAAAGCCCUUUUGUUGGGAAAGAAAAGCAGCAGGUUAAUACCCCGCUGUUCUGACGGUACCUAAUGAAUAAGCACCGGCUAACUUCGUG